CUUCUCAUCGAUGACUAGCUCGAUGUUGUAGUUGUGUAUCUAGUUCUUUGAUCUGAGGAGCAUCGAUAGUUCACCUUGAGUGUGUUAUAGUUUGACUACACCAUAACUUGAUCUCCUAGCCAUUCAAAAUUCUGAGGUGUAUGUUGGCUGUAGCAUAUUCAUUGUAGGAACCAGAUCGCACCAAGAUGAGAUCUAUCAACCUCGGUAGAUGAGAGGAGUAGUCCUAUGAUGAUCGAAAGAUCGAGCCC
rnacentral:lncRNA from 1 species